AGGUUGAUCAACACUUGUUAUAUCAUCAAGAGGGGGUCGGGAAACACACUGAGUUUCAUCUUGGAGGUUGGUCACAGUCUCAUCUUUUUUCUUCAGAUAAGCUGCUCGCCUCCGCGUGUUGUUCUGCUUCUUUUUAUCGCCUGUGCAGUCAUUGUUGCUUUCUUUAUCACGUUGCCCCAUAACUACCAUUACCAAAUUUACGCUACAAUUAUACCAAGUAUAAAUUCUAGAUCCGUACCUGGUAUCUCAUGGGAAGGCUGAUGAACAUUGGUGAUAUCGCCAAGAGGGGGUCGAGAAACAUUCUGCUUUUCACUUUGGAGCUUGAUCGUAUUCUCUUCCUUUUUCUUCCGAUAAUUUUCUCGCCUUCGCUUGUUUCUCCUCUCCCUUUGUUCUUCUGUCAAGUUAUUACUGCAUUCUUUAUCAUGCUUUCUGGUAGAUAGCUUGGCGACAUUCAGGAGUAGAGAUGUUGUCUGGGAAUCACUUGGGGUAGACGCUGGCGCAAAAUCUAAACCAUCAUGACCAUGGGCAUUUAGGCAGACAUCGUUAUGUGGAGAUUUUGGACCUAGAGGAACAGAACAAAAGCUAGUGGUUAGGCUCACAGAUGAAUAUGAACACCCAUAAGCACAAGAAGGGAAGGUGCGUCCCAUUGCGACAUUGUCCAUUGGAUGUUUUUUUAAGAUGGAUCUUUAUUUGGUUCAGCACUUUGCAGUUCUUCCUCCCUCUCCUUUUUAUAUUACCAUGUAAACCUCCUUCUAGCAUAUUGUCCCUGUUAGUCUAGCCCUAAGUCUGUACUCUUUAGAUCACUUCCCUCUCUCUCACACCCUCCAUUAUCCAUUUCCCUCUCACGUCAGAAUACUUUUGUUUUGAUUGCGACACCCCUCUCUCCCUCCUGUGCUCUCUUUCAUUUCUCUCUCCCUAUCUCUCACCCUCCACUAUCCAUUUCGCUCUCACGUCAGAAUACUUUAAUUGAUCGUCCAUAUUUUUUAGCCAUACUCUUGUGGGAAUACACUGGGAUUAUGUGCUUUAUAGAACAGUGAAGAACAAUGGUAGGUUAGUUUUUCCUGAGAAAAUACAAAAUCAGAAAAUUUAAUUUGAGCAAGGCUUAUUUUAUCCAUGUUUUUGCAGUUUGUGUUCUUCACUGGUGGCAUCGUGUUUCUGACACUGAUAUUGAAUGGUUCUACCACACAAUUUUGGCUGCACGCACUUGGUAUGGACAACUUGUCAGUAACAAAGGUUACCUUUACAAAUUACAGGUUUCAUCUGUGGGUUUUUUAACCUUGGAGUUAAAGAAUUUGCGUUUAUAUCAGAAAUCUUUUGAACUAUAACUCCUCUUUCAUUUCCCUAAGAUUAAUUAGUAAAUAGGAAGAUUAUAUGGUGUGAUUGUUACACAUAAUUUAUUUAUGUGCCUAUGAGUUCAGGGUUGGUGGAUUAUGCAAUGUUGUGUUUACACCAGAAUGAAGGUCAACAAGACGGGGUAGAGGUAAACCUGGACUUCCUUGGGGAUGUAGAUCAACAAGAGGGGGUAGAGGCCAACAUGAGAAGCUAGAGUAGAGGUCCAUUUCAAAGUAAACUUACAGGAGGACAAAGCUACCAACUGCUUACAGGAAAAGCUUGAACCUGGUCGAGCUGGGAACAUUGAUAAAGAAAAGGUGUAAUUUAGCUUUGCGUAAAAUUCAGAGAAGUUGCAUAUGUAUAAAUUGUAUGAUUCACAAGUCCGAAAACCUUCAAGUGUCUUAUUGAA